CCUACGGGAGGCAGCAGUGAGGAAUAUUGGUCAAUGGGCGGAAGCCUGAACCAGCCAAGUAGCGUGCGGGAUGAAGGCCCUACGGGUCGUAAACCGCUUUUGCACGGGGAUAACACCCUCCACUUGUGGAGGUCUGCAGGUACCGUGCGAAUAAGGGCCGGCUAAUUCCGUGCCAGCAGCCGCGGUAAUACGGAAGGCCCGAGCGUUAUCCGGUUUUAUUGGGGUUAAAGGGAGCGUAGGCGGGCGUUCAAGUCCGCUGUAAAAUCGCGGGGCUAAACCGCGCCCCGCAGUUGAAACUGGGCGCCUUGAGUUCACAACAGGCAGGCGGAAUUCGUGGUGUAGCGGUGAAAUGCAUAGAUAUCACGCAGAACCCCGAUUGCGAAGGCAGCGCGCCGGCGCCCGACUGACGCUGAGGCACGAAAGCGUGGGUAUCGAACAGGAUUAGAUACCCCGGUAGUC
rnacentral:rRNA from 1 species